GGGGAGGGAAGCUACUUGCUCAGAGAGGUGAGAGAACUACCUAGUUCUUAACUGAAUGUGGCUCUGCAGCUCAGUAGAUGGCUAGGCAAAGAAACAGCUCUGGGCAUGCUCAGAAAUUUAGGAAUGAUAUAGCUGAGUCGGUAAAGCAUGAGACUCUAAAUAUCAGGGUCCUGGGCUUGAGUCCCAUGUUGGGCAAAAUACCCCUGCAUUGCAGGGGGUUGGACUAGAUGACCCUUGUGGUCCCUCUGUGAAUGAUUCUGAUUUGGCUUACCAGGCUUUCAGAGUCAAUGUCCAGCUUCCCUUCCUCCCCAUCCCAGUCUGUGAACAAGAGCUUAAACCCCUCAAAGUUAACAGACCUAAUUAAGUCAUAUAGACUACAUAGGCACAGUUUCUGCUUAAAACAGGACAGCAUAAACCUAAGCCACAGAGUCUAGAGGAAAACAUGAAUGGCAAGUAAAUCUGCAUUUUGCUUUCCCAAAAUGUAAACCAGGACCAAGUGGAAUCAAAAGGGCAUAACUGGAGGGGGGGUUUUCAGUUUAUUGUGGGGAAUUAAUGAGGAUUGAGAGAGAGGGGAAUUUCCCUGGCACUUUAUAUGUCAAAAGAAAUGCCCUGAGAAAUUGUGGCAACUGGGACCCACUCGGAACCAAAAUAUGUCACCUUUCAAUUUAGUUACAUGCUGUUUAUAAAACUGAAGUGUUUAAGAGUCCGCAGUAGCCUUGUGAGGAGGAUGGUGAGAACAUCAGAGCAACUUGGCCACACUCCUGUAACCACUCACUGGCCACACUAUUGUGACCUCCCAGCAGCUCCACCAGGUCUAGUGCACACCAACCACCUCUGGGUACAGUCUCAGUUUAAUUAGACAUAGUAAUAUUAGGAUUUCCUCCCUUCCCCUUUCCUACCUAUGAAAUACUUUCUCAAAACAGUUGUAACAUGCCAGAAGAAACAUUCAUUACACAAUUGGACAUACUGAUAACUUCCCAUUCACUUGCCUUCUGGACAGAAUGGACAACAGGGAAGCUUUUUGCUUAUCAUUUUAAUAUAAACUUUUAUAUAAAGCUGAAAUCAGACCUGUGAAUACAAUGGCCACAUUAGUCAACAGAUAAUUUUGUGUUUUUCUUUCUUCUUCCUUCCUGCUUUGAAAAAACACCCUGUGCUUUUCUAUAAUCAAUUCUUCUUUUCCCUUAUUGUGUCUUGCACCAUUAUCUCAUCCCCCCUCUUUUAAACAUGUGAUAUUUGUAAGUGCUUUUACAGCAUUUCAUAUUAAGAUCUUGGAAAGCAGAUUUCACUUUAUUGAAUUUUGUGAAGUACCCCAAGUGUCAACUUCCCUGGUAAAUUGAAAACAUGACUCUUUAUUUUUUUCUCUGUUUCUCUCUCUCUCUUAAAAUAAAAAACCCAGACAUUAUAGCAGGAGUGCAUCCCAAAAAUAUUCCCACAACAUGUUUUCACAAUAUUUAACUCAGCGAAUUCACUGCAACACAAUGUGGGUAGGACAACUGAACUUAAAAUGGCUUUUAAAAAGAUUAGAGUAUGCUGGGUUGGAGCUCACAGGGAAAGCCUAUGUGUAUUCCUUCAGACCCCCACCCCCAAAACACAUGGAAAGCAGUGGAACGGACAUAUCAGCGGGCAUGGGGCGAACAUGUGCAACUCCAAUUGACCUGUAUAUGGUCUUAAUCACAUAGAGAUAGAAUACCGCAGGACUGGCUUUACCUUUAGGCAGAAUGAGUCAUCUGCCUCAGGCAGCUGACUUAGCAUGUCACAAAAGGCAGCAGAUUGUUAAUUAUUUAAUUUAUUGUUCAUACAGUUUUACAUGUUGCAUGCUGCAUUGCAGAUCCCUCAUUGAGCAGGCAAUUGGACCACAUGACCUCAAACCUGAUGAUUCUUAUCAUUCAUUGUGGCCUCCUAUGACCUUAACGGUGGAAUGCCCCUUUUAUUCUUUCCACAGCAUGUCUGAGACAUGUAGCCAGAAAAUGAAUGGACCCCAAUAUAAAGCUGUAGCUCAGUUAAAAAAACAAAAAAAGUACAUGCCUGGCACACAAGAAGUCCUAGGUUCAAUCUCCAGCAUGGACUCUUGGGGAAAUUGUAUUGUUUAACCAGAGGGAGUAGUGCUUGUGUACGGUCGUACCUUGGUAGUCAAACGCCUUAGUUGUUGAACAAAUAAGUGAGUGUUCCGAUUUGCGAAUGUUUUUUGGAAGCCGAAGCUCCUGCGGCUAAUCAGACGGUUUUCAAACCGUUUCAAGAGUCAAAUGGACUUCCAGAAUGGAUUGAAUUUGAGAACCAAGAUACGACUGUACUCAUUUUGUAUGGAGCUAUUAUUCAUAAUAAUUCUGAUCAAGAAAUGGUUCGUAAUACAUUCAAAAAUAAAGAAAUUCCUAAGAAAUGCGACUCACCUACUGUUUCUGGGAAACUACCAAAGCAAUAAAUAAAUAUGACACACAGAGAAGACAAACAACUCACUCAUUUGAUGAGAAAUGUAAUAAACUGAUUAAUUUUCGGAAUGGGACCUAUAAAUACAAUAGUGCUAUACACACAGAAAUAUUUCCAUUAAAAUAAUUUAAUACUUUUGAAUGGGCUAUUUUACAUGUAUAGUUAUCGUCUGUUGUAAUAUAUAUUGAUUCUAUGAGUAAUAAGAAAUAUAGAUUGUUCUUGAGAGGGCUGGUGUUUCGGGAGAGGGUGGAGUUGCAGCUUUAGUAGGAGUUUGCCAUAUUUUAUCCAGUUCUUCACACUACAGUGGUGAGGGGCAGGCUUGGACUGAUUGCUGUGACACUUUCAGAUGGAAACUGAAGUAAAUGAUAGGAUUGAAGGAAUCUAGAAGAAGUCUUUAAUCCCCCGCAAGCUACUGAGACAGCCUAUGAAGCUGAAUGGAGGCAAAAUGAUGGACAAUUGGUCAUCUAUUUCUCAUUUCACUACCCAGCCUCAUUUGAGCCAGCUCGAGUGCUACUGAUCUGCCUUAUUCAACUGUAGAAGAGACAAUAAGUAGUUGCCCCCUGCUGUGUAUGUCAAGGCUCAAAGACCAG
rnacentral:lncRNA from 1 species